UACGUAGGGGGCAAGCGUUGUCCGGAAUCAUUGGGCGUAAAGCGCGUGUAGGCGGCCCGAUAAGUCCGCUGUGAAAGUCCAGGGCUCAACCCUGGAAUGCCGGUGGAUACUGUCGGGCUCGAGUCCGGAAGAGGCGAGUGGAAUUCCUGGUGUAGCGGUGAAAUGCGCAGAUAUCAGGAAGAACACCGACGGCGAAGGCAGCUCGCUGGGACGGUACUGACGCUGAGGCGCGAAAGCGUGGGGAGCGAACAGG
rnacentral:rRNA from 1 species